CCUCCUUUCUAAGGAAAAUAAAUCAUCAUCUUCAGUUUUGAAAGACUUAGAUUAAAUAAGUUUUUCUUUUUAGGUAAAAAGAGUCAAAAGAGCCUAUAGCUCAGUUGGUUAGAGCACACGCCUGAUAAGCGUGAGGUCGGUGGUUCAAGUCCAUUUAGGCUCACCAAUAUAAUUUUUACUUAAAAAAAGUUCUUUGAAAAGUAGAUAAACGUAACUUUAAAAAUUCAAAUAAAAAAUUGAAGGAAUUAAGGGCAUACAGUG
rnacentral:tRNA from 1 species